CACAAUUCACCUGCUGAGGUGCAAUAAAAUGAAUAUGUGUAUCCAGUCCUCCUGCUGUUACAAUCAUCCCUUCUCCUGCUAAUGCCUCAGUUGCAGCUCCAACUGUCAUUCCAGGAGUAACACCGUCCAUAAUACUUGGGUUUCCUGCUUUUCCUAUCCCUGCAAUUUUUCCGUUUUUAAUUCCGAUAUCUGCUUUAUAAAUUCCUGUAUAAUCCACAAUUAGACAAUUGGUAAUAACCAAAUCUAAAUCUCCAUCUGCACUUGUUGUCUUUACCGACUGUCCCAUACCAUCACGCAG
rfam:Clostridiales bacterium CHKCI001 isolate CHKC1 genome assembly, contig: {contig8}